AACCAGCACCUCAAGUGGUCAGGAGGAUUAUUGGGCCUAAAGCAUUCGUAGCCGGUUGUAUAAGUUUCCGGUUAAAUCCAUAUGCUCAACAUAUGGGCUGCCGGGAAUACUGCACAACUAGGGAGUGGGAGAGGUAGAGGGUACUCCGUGGGAAGGGGUAAAAUCCUUUGAUCCAUGGAAGACCUCCUGUGGCGAAGGCGCUUUACCAGAACACGUCCGACGGUGAGGGAUGAAAGCUGGGGGAGCAAACCGG
rnacentral:rRNA from 1 species